UCGAGAAUCUUUCGCAAUGGGCGCAAGCCUGACGAAGCGACGCCGUGUGAGCGAAGAAGGCCUUCGGGUUGUAAAGCUCUUUCGCUAGGGAACAAGAAAGAUGGGAUAAUACCCCAUCGAUUUGAUGGUACUUGGUAAAGAAGCACCGGCUAACUCCGUGCCAGCAGCUGCGGUAAUACGGAGGGUGCAAGCAUUGAUCGGAAUUACUGGGCGUAAAGGGCGCGUAGGCGGUUCGGAAAGUCAGAUGUGAAAUUUCGGGGCUCAACUCCGAAGCUGCAUUUGAAACUUCCGAACUAGAGUACAGUUAGGGAAAACGGAAUUCCACGUGUAGCGGUGAAAUGCGUAGAUAUGUGGAAGAACACCAGUGGUGAAGACGGUUUUCUGGGCUGAAACUGACGCUGAGGCGCGAAAGCAAGGGGAGCAAACAGGAUUAGAUACCCCCGUAGUCC
rnacentral:rRNA from 1 species